rnacentral:rRNA from 1 species
CCUACGGGCGGCUGCAGUGGGGAAUAUUGCACAAUGGGCGCAAGCCUGAUGCAGCCAUGCCGCGUGUGUGAAGAAGGCCCUCGGGUUGUAAAGCACUUUCAGCGGGGAGGAAGGCGGUGAGGUUAAUAACCUCAUCGAUUGACGUUACCCGCAGAAGAAGCACCGGCUAACUCCGUGCCAGCAGCCGCGGUAGUACGGAGGGUGCAAGCGUUAAUCGGAAUUACUGGGCGUAAAGCGCACGCAGGCGGUCUGUCAAGUCGGAUGUGAAAUCCCCGGGCUCAACCUGGGAACUGCAUUCGAAACUGGCAGGCUAGAGUCUUGUAGAGGGGGGUAGAAUUCCAGGUGUAGCGGUGAAAUGCGUAGAGAUCUGGAGGAAUACCGGUGGCGAAGGCGGCCCCCUGGACAAAGACUGACGCUCAGGUGCGAAAGCGUGGGGAGCAAACAGGAUUAGAUACCCUAGUAGUC